UUUCCCUUAGGAUAGUUGGUGCUCUCCCAAAACCCAACCCACACAGUUUUAUCCAGUAAAGUUAAUAUUAGAGGUCCUGGGGCCAAAAUGAUCUCAACCUAUUCUCAAACUUUAAAUGUGUAAGAUUAUUAUUGUUGUUAUUUUUAUUUUAUUUUAUUUUAAUUAAUUAAUUUAAUUUAUUUUUUGAGACGAAGUCUCGCUCUGUUGCCCAGACUGGAGUGCAGUGGCGCCA
rnacentral:ncRNA from 1 species